rnacentral:rRNA from 1 species
AUUGAACGCUGGCGGAAUGCUUUACACAUGCAAGUCGAGCGGCAGCGCGGGGCAACCUGGCGGCGAGCGGCGAACGGGUGAGUAAUGCAUCGGAACAUGUCCAUGUCGUGGGGGAUAGCCCGGCGAAAGCCGGAUUAAUACCGCAUACGCCCGAGAGGGGAAAGUGGGGGACUCGCAAGGGCCUCACGCGAUUGGGUUGGCCGAUGUCCGAUUAGCUAGUUGGCGGGGAAGAGCCCACCAAGGCGAUGAUCGGUAGCUGGUCUGAGAGGAUGAUCAGCCACACUGGGACUGAGACACGGCCCAGACUCCUACGGGAGGCAGCAGUGGGAAUUUUGGACAAUGGGGCAACCCUGAUCCAGCCAUUCCGCGUGAGUGAAGAAGGCC